ensembl:lincRNA
AUGGCCGUGGCCCGCCAGGGCCCUGACUUGCCGCUGCUUUCCCGCAAAGCCCAGCCUAACCUGGAGCUAGUUGGGUCCGCAGGCGCCGCCGCCGUCGCACUCGAGAGACGCUCCUUCUCCGGCCGCCCAGGAGAGCCCCUCGAGAAAGAUGCCGCUGUCUCAACAGCAACCCACUUCCGCUUCGGAGGCCUCGACUCCGCCCCCCGUCGUGUCCCCAUUGGCCGCCCGCCUACCCUACUUCCGCGGUUGGCCGGGCUGGGGUGCAGAAGUGUACCUAACAGACGAAGAGUGUGGAGGAUUGGAGGACUCAGGGCAGCACGGCACAGGUGCAUGCAGGUCCCCGGUCGGACUGGAGAAUGGGUGGUGGGUUUCUUGAGCUCCAGUCCCUGAGCUGGACUUUGACGUGGGUUUAGCAACCAGGAAAAAAGCCCACCUUGUCCCUGCUGCCUGAGAAUACCCAGACCUUAGUCCAUGGCCAGCAUCUCUGGUCCCUCGGCACCUUCAGGCAAUGUGAAGGUCACCCCAAAUGCCUUGGGUUGCAUUGUUGCCUGUUUGUUUUGAGAUGGAGUUUCGCUCUUGUCGCUCUGGCUGGAGUGCAGUGGCGCGAUCUCAGCUCACUGCAACCUCCAACCUCCAACCUGGAUUCUCGUGAUUCUCCUGCCUUAGCCUCCCGAGUAGCUGGGAUUAGAGGCACCUGCCACCACGCCCGGUUAAUUUUCUUUGUAUUUCUAGUAGAGACGGGGUUCCAUCAUGUUGGCCAGGCCGGUCUCGAACUCCUGACCUCAGGGGAUCCACCCUCCUUGGCCUCCCAAAGUACUGGGAUUACAGGUGUGAGCCACUUCGCCAGGCCACCGUACAAUAAGUUUCUAACCUCGAAAAUGGAGUCAAAUAAUGGAAUGACAAGGCAGAUAGAAAGCAGAGCAUUAACGUUUUUGUGUUGUGUUUACAAACAAUAUGUGUUUGCUAUUUUCUGUAAUUGUAAGGAAAUCUGGCAUGGUAGAGUAUCUGAUAGAUAAAUCUAAUUCUCAUGUAAAAUAUCUAAGAGUGUGUGUGUGUGUGUGUGUGUGUUUUUGAGACGAGGUGUCACUCUGUCACCCAGGCUGGAGUGUGGUGGCACGAUCAUGCCUCACUGCAGCCUCGACCUCCCCAGAUUUAGAUGAUCAACCCACCUUGGCCUCCCAAGUAGCUGGGACCACAGGUGUGUGCCACCACGCCUGGCUAAAUUUUUUCUUUUUUUUUAGACACUGGCUUUUGCCAUGUUGCCCAGUCUUGUCUUGAAGUCCCAGGCUCAAGCUGUCUGCUUGCCUCGACCUCCCGAAGUGCUGGGAUUACAGGCACGAACCAUCACACCCUGCCCUAGGUAUUUGAUUUGUGAUAGUGAUUGUAAGUUGAAAGGUAUAAGAUUUUCCAAAGUUUGUGAUUAUAAUUGGAACAAAGAGAACUUAAUAGUUUAAGAGAAAUGUAGACGUUUAAUAUACUUAUGAGAAUUAUUUAAAUAUUAAUACUUGAUAAGGCAGACAACUGAAAUGCUAAAAACUAAAAUUAGAUUCUACAUGUAUAAAUGCAGUUGAAAAUGUUUUAAGAGAAUUUCAGUUCAUAAAUGGAGCCGUACAUGAUUAAUCAAAAUGGUGGUUAAAAAUGAUCAGAUUUAGGCUGGGCGUGGUAGCUCUCGCCUGUAAUCUUUUUUCUUUUUUUUUUGAGAUGGAGUCUGUUGCCCAGGCUGGAGUGCAGUGGCAUGAUGUUGGCUCACUGCAAGCUCCACCUCCCAGGUUCACACCAUUCUCCUGCCUCAGCCUCCUGAGUAGCUGGGACUACAGGCGCCCGCCACCACACCCGGCUAAUUUUUUGUAUUUUCGAUAGAGACGGGGUUUCACCGUGUUAGCCAGGAUGGUUUCGAUCUCCUGACGUCGUGAUCCGCCCGCCUCAGCCUCCCAAAGUGCUGGGAUUACAGGCGUGAGCCACCACGCCCGGCCUCGCCUGUAAUCUUAACCCUUUUGGAGGGUGAGGUGGGAGGAUUGCUUGAGCUGAGGAGUUUAUAGAUGAGCCUGGGUAACAUGGUAAAACCCCGUCUCCACCAAAAAAAAAAAAAAAAAAAAAAAAAAAA